rnacentral:misc_RNA from 1 species
UCCGGAGAACCUAUCAGCUUCUCUGCCACUGUGGGCGCGUGCGAGUAUCUGCGUCAGGCACGGGUGCGUUGCCAGGCUCGUGGUGACAGAGACAAGGAUAGAGGUCCCUCACCACCUACACAGAAGCGUGUCGGAACAGCGAACACUCGUGCUGAGAGGGUUGCACACGAAAGGGGCGGCGAUUCAUCAACUCAUCUCUUCGUCGUCGAGAGCGGUAGCUUAGAGCGCCCGUUCUCUGUUUUGCUGGGCACACACACAUACACACAGAAACUUCACGGAUACCGAAGUCGGGGGUUGUCUGUGCUUAGCCAUGCUGCACUCACAUCGACUGACGCUGCCGCUUCCGCUGAUGCAGAGCGUCUGUGGGCGACUCUCAUUGCGGUCUACCCGCAACCGCGGUACAUGCCACCUGACUCUCGCCGCUGCUGCUCUUUGUGUAUCCCAUCGCUACCAGAGUAGCACUGGCCCGACUAUCGGUGACACCCGUGCCUCCGGACCGCAAGUGGCGUUUAGUAGCAAGACGGUGAAGCUAAAGUACGAGGAGGUGUGGCAGCUGUGGAAUGAAGGCAAUCUCUUCUCGCUGCAGGUGGCGCAGAUGCGGGACUUUCUGGCCGACGCGGGCAUCGCUGUCGAUCCGACGGCAAAGAAGGCGGCGGUAGUGCGACGCAUGGAGGAGUACCUGCACAGCAAAGACAGCGCCGAGCAGCGCGGCGGCGCCGCUGCCAUCUCUGGAGCUGCUCAAGGCGUCGGCAAGGAGAGCGAGCAGAGCUACGGCAACUGGGCUGGCGCAGGCGCGAUGCAGCCAGAGAAGCUGCUGGAUUUGGCCCAGGCAGGCUUCUAUCAAGGAACGGCAAACAUGGUUCCCAAGGCAUUUCAACUGCUCACGACGGGCAGCUGUGCCGAGGCCGUUGUCAGUCGCGUGAACACCUCCACCUUCCCGGGAUUCCCUGCCAACACAGAAUGCUACACCCUCUCCUCCUCGGAUGCGACCGGGGCCCUACAGACACGUUACAGCAAGGUGCUUCAAUGGUGUCUGCUAAACAUGAACAACCUCCGCAUGGAUGGCGAGCUUACCAUGGAAGUUGGAAAGCUACUGCUCACCCCCGCGGCGAUGCGGUACGGAGAGGCUGUCGUGUCCGCCUACACGCUGCAGCAGCGCCUCCAGCUGACGAAGCCGUACACAUGGAUCGCUGCGAUGCCGGAGAGCGCCAUUCCUCUUGUGGAGGCGUUCUUGAAAGAGCGUGGGUUCCAGCCCGUCAGUAAGAACGCGCGCCUCACCUAUGAGGGCGUCAUCAAGCGCGCCAAGGACAAGCUGGAGGUGGUGCUGAACGAGCAGAUGAAGGUGGAGGGGGUGUAUGGGGAGUGGGUGGAUGUGCAGACAGCCUUCUGCACCUCUGUGGAGAAGCCGGAUUGCCGCAUUCUGCUGCGCUCGCGCCCAGCCGUCAGCGCACAGGACCGCGAGACGUACACCCGCAUCCCUGUGAUUGAGCUCGCCGAUGAUGACGUGAGCGAUGUGCUGCCGCCGGAAAACGGCCAGCUUGUCUACCUGUCCGAGAACGAGACGCGUCACUUCGAGCGGCUUAACGACAAGGGCAUCGCCAUUGCUGUGCGAGAGACGAAGCGGCAGCCGCUCAUUGUGCUGCGGGACGAAGAAGAGGAUCCGCGUCUGGAGUACCAGAUUAGCGUCACCAUCCCGGCCAGCGCUGGCAGCCACUCCAUGGACGUUCGUGCGGUUGGCUUGGAGGUACUGGCCCUCUCCGAUGAGCUGUCAACUCUUCUGAAGGAGCCCUUCAACGAGGCGUACGGGUGCGCGCCAGCGCUCGACACCGGUAGCGUUGCCGCGACUGCAUAAGGGCCCACUCUGGGAGGAGAGAGAGCAGCGGUGCAGGAAACAAGAGCAGUGCGUGGGGCCUACAAAGUUGGGGGCGAGAUGCGAUUCUCCUUGGAGACGCGCGCACCCGACACGCUGGUUCCAGCCGCUUGCACAUGUCUGUGCACGGCGCACUCACGCGCUGCGCUGUGCCCUUCGUUUCCCCCCUCACUCACCACUCGCCUUGCGUUGCGGCUGGGUAUGUGACUGGCCAGCCUGCAUCUUAGAAGCUCAGAAGAGGCGGGAGAGGCGAGCCGGCAGAAAAAGUGGGGAGAACUCACAACGCAAAAGCCUCCGCUUCCGCUUCCUCGCCCACACCUCUCCCUUGGGAUGCCACACCCUCUGCACUCUGGAGUGUUGUCGAGAUGCGGCGGAACGUACGCAAGCGCUUUCUUUUUCGUUCGUCUUCGUCUUUUUCGAGAUAAAUGUUCCGACAGGGUCGGCUUUUCGACGGCCUCCUGGCUGAGCGCAGAGAUGCAUUCAAGGGCACUGACACGUGCAUGCGCAGACGUGGACGUGCAUUAUCUCAUUUGCAUGCCCGUGAAUUUGAGUUCUUUCUCUCUCUGUGCCGGUGUGCCGGCGCGUGUUGGGAUGGGUGGGUGGGGAUGCCCGCGUGUACCGCAGCAGAGGCGCGCCACUUCUGCCGUUUUUUUCUUGUCGUCUGUGUGUUCUGUUGCCUUGUGCUCCGUUUGUGUGAUACUGUUCGCGUUUGCAUUGCCCAGCUGCGCAUAUAUAUAUGUAUAUAUGUGUGUGUGUGUGGGAGUGGGAGUGGGAGUGGGGGUGGGAGUGGGAGUGGCUGGGUACGAGCGCCCGGCUUUGCUGAAAACGCUCCGUCUAUUGUCCCCCCUCCCCCUCUCCCCUUCCCUGCGGCUGCCGGUGUGGUUCGACGUUGCCUUGCGAGUGCGACGCUCGCCAAGCAAGAAAAAAGAAGGUUACACACAACACACGCGCACACGCACACAAGGGAAAGAGGGUCUCCACGACAUACGAAGGAGCGCACAGGGUACGAGGGCGGAGGAGAGAAUGUGUGUGUGUGCGUGCAUGGCGGUAGUGGUGAUAGUUGUUGCCUUUUCUGCGAUUUGUCUUAGUACUUCCUCACCUUUCAUCUCUCUAUACUUUCGCUCAAGGCCACUAUCAUGGGUUCUUCCUUGUCUUUCCGUGGUGGUGCGCGUCCCGCACACGUCUG